AAUAACUCUAGGGGGAAUGAAGUGACAUCACGCUGCGUCAGGGAAAGACAAAGAAUCGUUAUCUGCAAUGUCAUGACACCAGCAGUGGGCGAUUUGGCUCCGAACGAAACCCUCACGGUUUUGUUUUUCUGGCCAUCUGUGGACAUAGAGACAGAACAAUGGAAACAACUACUUGCCAGUUCUCUGACUCGUGCUGGUGGUGGCUUUGGUGACCGAGGUCUUGCUUGGAGCUUCGUUGGACUCUGGCGGGAGAGGACAAGAUCAUUUUUCUGGGCUGAUGCUGUGGACAACAAUAUUGUUAUUAAGUGAUCUGCCUGCUCAAAUAAAGGAGAUCCCGUCUCCCUCCAGGCCUCGAGGGCAGGGGCCACACCUGAAGGAGCCAAAACCGUUCACACACCUGACGCCAGGAAAACACGGCCCUCUCUUACACUCAUUCACAUCGUCCUGACACGUGGCACCUGUGAACAGAAAACAGAAAAGCAUUAUUAUUAUUAUUAUUAUUAAAUGUGUGUGUAUAAAUGUUUUUCAGCAACCCUUUUGCACAUUACAUUGUUAUGCCAGUAGGUGGCGAAAAGUAAAUUGAUGAGUGAUUCAACCAUUCAUUCGUCCAAAACACAGAUUUUUUCACAGAUUACUGUGAAAUUUGCACGUGG